rnacentral:lncRNA from 1 species
CCGCUGCGAAGCUCGGGCUCGGGGAGAAAAAGCAAUCAUCCCGCAAUUGACGGUUCACUAAUGGAUUCUAUUAAUUUAUGGCCAUGAAGGAAUCAGCUAAUUUGUGGUUAAUGGAGUUUAAAAGAUAAACAACUCAGAUCAAGUCGCUGGAACACAGUCCCAGCUCUCGGAAUCUGUCUGCCCAGGAGAGGCCAGGCCUGGCUGGGCCUGGGGAGGACACCAUGGCCAGUGGUCAGCUGGGCAGCAGGACAGACUGGAGGAGAAGACCACCUCCAGGUCCCCAGAGGGGGCUCCUCCUGGUUCACCUCGGCCCCAUCCCAGGCCCCACGGCCCAGAUCUGGUAAGCAAAAGGCACAUCCUGCGGUCAUCACGAUCCUGCUGUCCACUGUCCUCUGCCACGAGUGCGUGCCUGUGAGCCGCUCACGGGAGCCGGCAUCCUGACGUCACAUCCCUGUGUCUGAGGACCUGGAUCAAGCCGCUCCUGAAACCUCCAGGCCUGGACUUCAGCAGCAGCGACGUAGGCUUCCAACCACUCUGGGUCAAGCAGGAGCAGAAGAGGACCAGUCUGAAGGGAGAAAAUAGAACUCCUGCCCGAUGCUCCCAUUUUCUUCCCAUGACCAGUCUCUGACUCGUCAGAGGUUCUUUUCUUGUCUACACCUAUGAACUAAGCCCUUCUGGAAAUGUGGGUACAGAAAGGAGCAUUAAAUAAAUAAACUAUCUGUUUAAUCAUCC